rnacentral:lncRNA from 1 species
GCCGGUUGGCGAACUCCAAGUCGUGAACUUUCAAGACUUCUGCGUCAAAAGCCGAUCGAUGUCCAUAGGCUGACCAUUAAACUGUCGAUGGAGACAAUAUACGAAGGUGUGCGUCUCUGCAAGAAAUAGGAAAUCGUUGAUAUCUGGCAAGCUUACCUCAGGAAGAUCGAGAGGGGAUCACUUUGACUAAGCUGUUCGUCCUGGACAUAAGCUCGAUUACAAUCAAACAGUGAGCACUUUUUAACAGACCUUCGUACGCUUGGAACCUCGCUUGUGUUGCACCUGAUGCUUUGCGACCCCAGGAAUUCACGUCUUGUUUGUACUUAAAAAGGAACGAC